rnacentral:rRNA from 1 species
UACGAAGGGAGCUAGCGUUGUUCGGAAUUACUGGGCGUAAAGCGCACGUAGGCGGCGAUUCAAGUCAGAGGUGAAAGCCCCGGGGCUCAACUCCGGAACUGCCUUUGAAACUAGAUUGCUAGAAUCUUUGGAGAGGCGAGUGGAAUUCCGAGUGUAGAGGUGAAAUUCGUAGAUAUUCGGAAGAACAUCAGUGGCGAAGGCGACUCGCUGGACAAGUAUUGACGCUGAGGUGCGAAAGCGUGGGGAGCAAACAGG